rnacentral:lncRNA from 1 species
CACAGCUGCUGCUCCUUUUCUGAACAAACAGCCAAGCUCAGCUGGGAGGCGUCCUUAAAGGUCAGCUCCUCCUCCCUCUAAAGCUUGAAUUUCUCCCCAUGCAUCACUAGUUGUGCCUUUUUUUUCCUGCAAAACCAGUCACCACACUUGAAGCAGACUGAGCACCCACUGCCCAUGGGGUAGGAAGAGUGGUAAUACAAUGGCUGGAGGUCUGGCCCCAUGAGCUGGGUCCUCCUGUAGUAUUUUCAAGCUUGGAAAAGGUACAGCACUGAGAUAAGGGGAGGAAACCCUAGCCACAGAGCUGCCUCAAAUCCUAUGGCCACAAGGAGCUGAAUGUUUCCAAGAACCAUGAGAACGAGGAAGCAGACACUUCCCCAGUCAAGCCUCCAGAGAGAACCCAAUCCUGGUCGACAUCUUGAUGACAGGCUUGUGAGAUCCUAAGCAGAGGACCCAUUAAGCUGUGCUCACACUACUGAUUCACAGAAAUUGUGAGCUCAAGCUGAGAGCGGGGCUCGGAGGCCCUGCCUCCUGUUGGUCCCCAAGGCUGCCCCCAGAAUGGGGAGGGGCUCUCCAGGUGAUUUUGAUUUGGCUGUCUGGAUGCUGAAGAAUUCCUUUAUUUAUUUAUUUUUAGUCCUUGACGUUCAAUAAUGGCUCACUAUUACUUUGGUUUGAACAGAAGUUCGUUUUAAGAACCUUGAAGACAGAUUUGUGUCCUCCGCAAGUCAAAGUCAAGGCAGCUGCUUCUGGGGGCUGUAGCACCGCUGCUAGAACCAAGAGGUGAGGGCCGCAGAAGGCACCCUGCAAGGUCACUGCAGAUGCAGCUGAGGAGAGGAGUGUAGGGUCAUCUAGAAGAGGCAGCUCUGCCCCCAGGAGCGGGAGAUUUCACCAUCAGACUCCAGAAAUUCUGGUCCCAGAGGCAAGAUGUCCCUACUGUGAGCCUGAUGUUUAAACAUGAACUUCACCUGACUCCCCCUCUUCUGAUUUCAUGUCCUCAUGGCAAUUUUCUGGCGCCAGUGAAGGGCUGCUCAUGUAGAGAGAGAAUGCAAAAAAAAAAAAAAAAAAUACAGAUUUUAAAUAUUUCUGAGUCUCUCACAGUGAUUUCUCAGGGUAAUGAGUGGCUUCUGAUUACCAUUUGGUUUUCCCAGGCUACAGGGAGAAAAGGAGAUUGUUAUGCCAACCUGAAUAAUUCCAGUCUGUGUGACAAUUCUAUUUCUCACUUUAAAUUAAUAUAUUGCCAGCCUGAUGCCUUCCCCAGGUCUUCUGCACAUUUUAAUGGUGUCCUUGUUGUGGUCUUGCUUGUCUCAGAUCGACCUGUUCUUUUGAAAAGCCAGAUACAAAAGCAUAGAAGCAAGGGUUGAAGAAUCAGCAUUUGAAUUUCAGAAUGCUCGAGAGAAGGAGAUUUUGUUGAAGUUGGGUGACUUAACAAACCGACUUAACGAGCACUGUGUUUAUUUUGCGUAAACAUAAUCCCAGUUAUGAAAUUACAGCAGAAGCCUUGUUAUCUAACAAAAUGAAGACCAAUAGUUUAAUCAAAAAGUUGGAUGAAGCAUGGAAUUUAUUUUUAAAAAACC